UGUAGCUCAGUUGGAGAGCGUUUGCCUGGCAUGCAGGAAGCCCUGGGUUCAAUCCCCAUCA
rnacentral:tRNA from 1 species